UCUGAAAAUCAAAUUAAUAUUUCACUGUCUUUUAUAUAUAUUACUCAUAAUAUAUGUCAUCUCCCACUCUACUUUGUCAGAGCCUGGGAUAACAUCAGCUCCAUUUCUUCCUGAAGAGUUACCAUCAGUGGAAGCACAGAGAGACACUGUCCCUGAUGAAGCUCUGCCAAGUCCAGCACCAUCUGUCCCUUUAGAUGUGCCACACCAGCCUGCAGCCUCUGUCCCUGGCUAUGCUCAGGAUGUAGCGCAGUGGAACUGCUCCCACCAGCAGAAAAUUUGGAUGAAGACUGAGCUGGAGGCGUUGGGGCUGUGGCCGGGGUCACGUCCUGUUCGUCAUCCUAUGAACAUGCUGUCCUUGUGGCGUAAUCCACCUCAGCCUGAGCUCAUAGACUCAAUCUCUGAGCUGCCAUCACCUAAAUACUGUCAGCUUCAUCCUUUUUUCAUUUGGAAGCCGGAGCACACAAUCAUGGAGAGGGUAAGGAACAAUUACAUCUUGCCCUGCCUUCAUGAUUGUCCCAACCCUCAGGUAGCUUCUUCUGGCGUUGGAAGGCCAAGAGUUAUAAUUGGCACCAGCGGCCAGUACUAUAUUUUAGCCUCACGGCUCACCUGCAAGGCCUGUAGGACGUACUGGCAUGCUGACAAGCCCCAGUGGCUGGAGAAGCUACCAGAGCGCUUCAGCAACAUUGUUCCGGCUUUCCUAACUCACAAAAAGGCCAUCUGCAAAUCAGUAAUGGAUGAGAUGAGGUGCAGAGAAAGCCCACCUGGCCUACCUGCUCAGUGUGCAGAACGUCAGGGAUGCUGAGGCAGGAGUUUACAGCCAGCGAACCAUCACUGGGCUUCUCAGACAGGCAGACACUCCGGCUCCAUUCGGUGGCUACUCCGAUGCUGACGGCUGGUGUGGAGUGUCUAUUUCUUCUCACUACCUGGUCGACUGCCUGGUCCGUGAGUUUCAACGGCAGGAGCAGCUCCUCACUCUGUUGCUACAGGGGACCUUUGGACAAGUACUCAGGUCAGAUCACACACGCAAAGUGGCUAGGAAGGUGGUGCUGUCAUCCGGCACAAUGUCUUCCUAUGCCAUAAUGAAUGAGAACUGGAUGAUCUUGAGCUGGGUGAUGCUGCAGUCGGAGUGCGAUCGGUCCCUCUAUCCUCUGUAUGAGGGGCUGUCUCGGCGCUACACUGCAGCUGGAGUGAGGAAGGCAAGCUACCACUGGGUUGACAGGGACUGCUGUGCUGCCUUCAAGGUCCUGGACCCUGGUCAUCAGGAGCAGCUGCUGUGGGACUGCUGGAGGACAUCAGAGGCC